GAUGAACGCUAGCGGGAGGCUUAACACAUGCAAGUCGAGGGGUAAGAGAGUAGCAAUACUUUCCAAGACCGGCGCACGGGUGAGUAACGCGUAUGCAACCUGCCCUUUACAGGGGGAUAGCCCGGAGAAAUCCGGAUUAAUACCCCAUAGACCUGCAGAUCCGCAUGGAUUAACAGGUAAAGCUGCGGCGGUAAAGGAUGGGCAUGCGUGACAUUAGCUAGUUGGCGGGGUAACGGCCCACCAAGGCUACGAUGUCUAGGGGUUCUGAGAGGAAGGUCCCCCACACUGGUACUGAGACACGGACCAGACACCUACGGGAGGCUG
rnacentral:rRNA from 1 species